rnacentral:rRNA from 1 species
AGUGAACGCUGGCGGUAGGCCUAACACAUGCAAGUCGAACGGCAGCACAGUAAGGGCUUGCUCUUACGGGUGGCGAGUGGCGGACGGGUGAGGAAUACAUCGGAAUCUACUUUUUCGUGGGGGAUAACGUAGGGAAACUUACGCUAAUACCGCAUACGACCUACGGGUGAAAGCAGGGGAUCUUCGGACCUUGCGCGAUUGAAUGAGCCGAUGUCGGAUUAGCUAGUUGGCGGGGUAAAGGCCCACCAAGGCGACGAUCCGUAGCUGGUCUGAGAGGAUGAUCAGCCACACUGGAACUGAGACACGGUCCAGCCUCCUACGGGAGGCAGAAGUGGGGAAUAUUGGACAAUGGGCGCAAGCCUGAUCCAGCCAUACCGCGUGGGUGAAGAAGGCCUUCGGGUUGUAAAGCCCUUUUGUUGGGAAAGAAAAGCAGCAGGUUAAUACCCCGCUGUUCUGACGGUACCCAAAGAAUAAGCACCGGCUAACUUCGUG